CUUCAUUGUAAUCUUUUGGCAGACAUCGCCUCAUCAGUCGGUACAAAUCAACAGUAUGUUGAAGAGAUAUCUACUGAUCUACUGAAGCUAGCAUGCUAACCAGCAAGCCUGAGAACCUCUUUCUCCCUGUGGUCCAGAGCUCCUGCGCCGGCGGAAUAAACACCAUCACUCCUCUGCCUUGGUACUGACAUGCAAUGCGGACGUAGGCACGGUUGCUCUUGGUGGUGCCAGCCGAGCUCCAGGCCACACACUGGCACCAGUAGUCCUCCAAACCAAACAGCUCCUCCACCUGAGUCCUGGAUACUGAGA